rnacentral:rRNA from 10 species
GUUUCCGUAGGUGAACCUGCUGCUGGAUCAUUA